rnacentral:lncRNA from 1 species
GUUCUACUGACUGAAGUGAUCCUAUCUUGUGACUCAUGCAUGGCACGUCUAUAAGUCAAGCUGGAAUCCUCUAAAAUAAGUCACAUGGGAAAAAAUUCUGAUCUUAUUCUAGACGAAGAAUGAAAAGCCAGGAAGCUACAUAACCCAAGUGCAUUUCCAGAAAUCACUAACUUCUGACAUUAUCAGAACUUUGGAUGAAAUAAACACAGGUUUUUGAAUGAAGUAAACAUAGUCUAUCACCAGUUUAAAUUCUUUUCCAAUACUAUUCUUUCAUGAUUCUAUAAAGAUUCUACACAGAAUCUUUCCAACACUAUUACUCAAUAAAUUCUCCAGAAUACUGUUAAUAUACUUACAAAGUGUUGAAUCUUUAAAUUGCUGUUCUCAAUGGGUAAAACUGACUGAUAAAAGCACAUUUAUAAAUGUCAGUUGCCAUAUGGUUUACACUUUUGCUAAUGAUCAAUCACAAGACUAAAUCAAUCAUUGGACAAAUACCAUUAUAAAACUGUGAAAUGUUUACGCCAACUCUCUUCUUCUCUCCCCAAGUAACAUCACUAAUUUGUGCCAAUAUUUACGAACAUUUAACCCAUACUUCCUUUCCUGCUGUAAGAUUCAAAUUUACCAAUUGCAUUUAGAGUGGCUACCUAUUACUUG